rnacentral:rRNA from 1 species
UACGGAGGGGGCUAGCGUUGUUCGGAAUUACUGGGCGUAAAGCGCACGUAGGCGGACUGAUCAGUCAGGGGUGAAAUCCCGGGGCUCAACCCCGGAACUGCCUUUGAAACUGCAGUGCUAGAAUCCUGGAGAGGCGAGUGGAAUUCCGAGUGUAGAGGUGAAAUUCGUAGAUAUUCGGAAGAACACCAGUGGCGAAGGCGACUCGCUGGACAGGUAUUGACGCUGAGGUGCGAAAGCGUGGGGAGCAAACAGG